AAAGCUUGCUUUCCUGCCGGCGAGUGGCGAACGGGUGAGUAAUACAUCGGAACGUGCCCUGUAGUGGGGGAUAACUAGUCGAAAGAUUAGCUAAUACCGCAUACGACCUGAGGGUGAAAGUGGGGGACCGCAAGGCCUCAUGCUAUAGGAGCGGCCGAUGUCUGAUUAGCUAGUUGGUGGGGUAAAGGCCCACCAAGGCGACGAUCAGUAGCUGGUCUGAGAGGACGAUCAGCCACACUGGGACUGAGACACGGCCCAGACUCCUACGGGAGGCAGCAGUGGGGAAUUUUGGACAAUGGGCGAAAGCCUGAUCCAGCAAUGCCGCGUGUGUGAAGAAGGCCUUCGGGUUGUAAAGCACUUUUGUCCGGAAAGAAAUGGCUCUGGUUAAUACCUGGGGUCGAUGACGGUACCGGAAGAAUAAGGACCGGCUAACUACGUGCCAGCAGCCGCGGUAAUACGUAGGGUCCAAGCGUUAAUCGGAAUUACUGGGCGUAAAGCGUGCGCAGGCGGUUGUGCAAGACCGAUGUGAAAUCCCCGAGCUUAACUUGGGAAUUGCAUUGGUGACUGCACGGCUAGAGUGUGUCAGAGGGGGGUAGAAUUCCACGUGUAGCAGUGAAAUGCGUAGAGAUGUGGAGGAAUACCGAUGGCGAAGGCAGCCCCCUGGGAUAACACUGACGCUCAUGCACGAAAGCGUGGGGAGCAAACAGGAUUAGAUACCCUGGUAGUCCACGCCCUAAACGAUGUCAACUAGUUGUUGGGGAUUCAUUUCCUUAGUAACGUAGCUAACGCGUGAAGUUGACCGCCUGGGGAGUACGGUCGCAAGAUUAAAACUCAAAGGAAUUGACGGGGACCCGCACAAGCGGUGGAUGAUGUGGAUUAAUUCGAUGCAACGCGAAAAACCUUACCUACCCUUGACAUGCCACUAACGAAGCAGAGAUGCAUUAGGUGCUCGAAAGAGAAAGUGGACACAGGUG
rnacentral:rRNA from 1 species